UACGUAGGGGGCGAGCGUUGUCCGGAUUUAUUGGGCGUAAAGCGCAUGCAGGCGGUCCUGUAAGUUUGGCGUGACAGUUUCCGGCUCAACCGGGAAAGUGCUUUGAAAACUGCGGGACUUGAGGGCUUCAGAGGGACACGGAAUUCCGGGUGGAGUGGUGAAAUGCGUAGAUAUCCGGAGGAACACCGAAGGCGAAGGCAGUGUCCUGGGGAGUACCUGACGCUCAGAUGCGAAAGCCAGGGGAGCGAACGGG
rnacentral:rRNA from 1 species